UACGUAGGGUCCGAGCGUUGUCCGGAAUUAUUGGGCGUAAAGGGCUCGUAGGCGGUUUGUCGCGUCGGGAGUGAAAACACGGGGCUUAACCCCGUGCCUGCUUCCGAUACGGGCAGACUAGAGGUAUGCAGGGGAGAACGGAAUUCCUGGUGUAGCGGUGAAAUGCGCAGAUAUCAGGAGGAACACCGGUGGCGAAGGCGGGUCUCUGGGCCACUACUGACGCUGAGAAGCGAAAGCAUGGGGAGCGAACAGG
rnacentral:rRNA from 1 species